rnacentral:rRNA from 1 species
UACUAACUCUGUCGGCGUGCUUAACACAUGCAAGUCGAACGGAAAGGCCUCUUUCGGGGGGUACUCGAGUGGCGAACGGGUGAGUAACACGUGAGUAACCUGCCCUUGACUUUGGGAUAUCUUCAGGAAACUGGGGCUAAUACCGGAUAGGAGCUCCUGCUGCAUGGUGGGGGUUGGAAAGGUUCGGCGGUUGGGGAUGGACUCGCGGCUUAUCAGCCUGUUGGUGGGGUAGUGGCUUACCAAGGCUUUGACGGGUAGCCGGCCUGAGAGGGUGACCGGCCACAUUGGGACUGGGAUACAGCCCAGACUCCUACGGGAGGCAGCAGUGGGGAAUAUUACACAAUGGGUGGAAGCCUGAUGCAGCAACGCCGGGGGCGGGAUGACGGCCUUCGGGUUGUGAACCGCUUUCGCUCAUGACGAAGCUUUGUGUGACGGUAGUGGGUAAAGAAGCACCGGCUAACUACGUG